ensembl:lncRNA
AAAACGUAGAAACAGUGCUGCUGCUCCCCCUCCUGUUUCCCGUAACCCGUAACAAAAGACGGAGCCCGAGCCGUGCAUGUGGUCGUGUCCCGCACAGAUGGGCUUCAGGGCGAAGCUGGCACCACCAACAACAACAACAAAAAACUAAAUAGCUACAGGCUUUGAAAAAAAAUAAUAAAAAAUUGAAUUGAGCAAUCUGGAUCUUGAACCCGGGAAUAUUUAUUGACGCUUUUUCCAUACGGGUGGUGCAGGGUCAGCUGGGUCUCCACUUAACGGAGGAAAAGGCCAGGAAAGGUCGUCUGUCAGACAGGCUGGAGCUGGAGCUGGAGCUGGGAGGGGAUUUACGUCCUCCGUUAAGAACGUGAGCCGAGACUCGGCAACACUUUAAAAAAGAUGUGCACACGUGUGACGUGUUCAGGCCCCGUGUCAAAGCCGUGACAAACACCUGAACGCGGGUUUGGUCUCGGCCUGGAAAUAAUUCACUGUCGAGCUUCACUGAGCAGAGGGUCAGGGGUGUAACGGACAGGACUUGGGGGGGGAUUAGUUAUUUAUUAGUUAUUAUUUAUACAACACCAUCAGCAGUAAGCAAAUCACACACACACACACACACACACACACACACACACACACACACGGAUAAACACACUCAGCGUCAUCCGGGUCAAAAGGAUGCCCGAAAAGCAACAAGGUUAGAAAACGCUUCCGUCACAUAACACUCGUUAUCACAGCAAUUAGUCAUGUGGUAAAGCUUUCAACCUGCAGACUGUUAUACAGAGACUCUGUGUGUGUGUGUGUGUGUGUGUGUGUGUGUGUGUGUGUGUAUGUGUGUGUACGUAUGCAGUAUACGUGUGUGUGUAGUGUGUGUGUGUGUGUGUUCGUAUACAGUAUACGUGUGUGUAGUAUGUGUGUGUGUCUGUGUGUGUGUGUGUGUGUUGGUAUACAGUAUACGUGUGUGUGUUAUGUGUGUGUGUGUGUUCGUAUACAGUAUACGUGUGUGUGUGUGUGUGUGUGUGUGUGUGUAGUGUUGUGUGUGUGUAGUAUGUGUGUGUGUGUGUGCCC